ACGGCAACGUGUCUGCGUCAGUACUUUGUUACGUGCUCGUGCUUUGCUUGACCCGCGCACAAGCAAAUUCUGCUCGUGCCUCAAUUGCUUUUGUUGGUGUAGCACAGAAGUCCAAUGAGUUCAAGUUCAACCGGAAAAAGGGUUGAAGGGCGCGCGCUUCGGGCAGCAGAGGAGCCGCGCGAGCAAAACGUCACGUCUGCGCACGCCGCACGCCCGCCAGCAGGUCGCGCAAAUUCCAAAUACGCUCAUCGUGAGGAGGACGAGGACGAUGACGAUGACGAUGACGAUGACGCCCUCCACCGACAGAAGCGACAGCUGGGGAGGAAGAUGAGGCGGACGCAGAUGAAGACCUGGACGUUCCGGUGCAAGUGAAAAUGGAGUUCUCAUCUAUGAACCGCAUCAUCCGGAAGCUUCGGAGUUCCUCCCUCUGAUCCGGAAGAAGCUGCUGCAAGGUAAAGACCGAACGUCA